AUGAGUCCUCUGAGAAGUUGUGUUACU
rnacentral:piRNA from 1 species